rnacentral:lncRNA from 1 species
CAAUCUUGGAAAAAAUCAAUCCUAGAAUUAAGAUUUCCUGAAAAUGUCAAUUCCUUGUUUGGAUCGCAUACGGUGGAAACCAAGAAAGUGCAAAUUUCCUGUUUGGAUUGUCCGGAAUAUCUUUGUUUGCAAAUGCAAAUUCUCUCUUUCUUUCUAAAAUUUUUGAGAUAGUUUCCCUUUCCAAAAUUUUACUACUCUUUCAAAAACUUA